UACGUAGGGCGCAAGCGUUGUCCGGAAUUAUUGGGCGUAAAGAGCUCGUAGGCGGCUUGUCACGUCGGAUGUGAAAGCCCGGGGCUUAACCCCGGGUCUGCAUUCGAUACGGGCAGGCUGGAGUUCGGUAGGGGAGACUGGAAUUCCUGGUGUAGCGGUGAAAUGCGCAGAUAUCAGGAGGAACACCGGUGGCGAAGGCGGGUCUCUGGGCAGUAACUGACGCUGAGGAGCGAAAGCGUGGGGAGCGAACAGG
rnacentral:rRNA from 1 species